rnacentral:rRNA from 1 species
AUAUAAACUGUCUUAAAAAUAAAUUAUUGAAUUUAAUUUUUUAAUUAAAAAGUUAAAAUAUGUUAAAAAGACGAGAAGACCCUAUAGAGUUUUAUAUUUAAUUAAAUUUAAAUUAUAUGUUAAUUAAUAAAUUAUAGAUUUUUUUUAAUAUUUUAUUGGGGUGAUAAAAAAAUAAAAAAAACUUUUUUUUAAAUUAAACGUAAAUAAAUGAAUUUAUGAUCCAAUUAUAUUGAUUAAAAGAAAAAAUUACCUUAGGGAUAACAGCGUAAUUUUUUUUUUU